rnacentral:snRNA from 1 species
GUUCUCUCUUCAGGAGCACAUAUACUAAAAAAUUGGAACUGCAGAGGUUAACAUGGCCCCUGCGUAGGACGACAUACAAAUUUGUGAAGCAUUCCAUAUUUAA